rnacentral:rRNA from 1 species
GGGGAAUAUUGCACAAUGGGCGCAAGCCUGAUGCAGCGACGCCGCGUGAGGGAUGACGGCCUUCGGGUUGUAAACCUCUUUCAGCAGGGAAGAAGCGCAAGUGACGGUACCUGCAGAAGAAGCGCCGGCUAACUACGUGCCAGCAGCCGCGGUAAUACGUAGGGCGCAAGCGUUGUCCGGAAUUAUUGGGCGUAAAGAGCUCGUAGGCGGUUUGUCGCGUCUGCUGUGAAAACGCGAGGCUCAACCUCGCGCCUGCAGUGGGUACGGGCAGACUAGAGUGCGGUAGGGGAGACUGGAAUUCCUGGUGUAGCGGUGGAAUGCGCAGAUAUCAGGAGGAACACCGGUGGCGAAGGCGGGUCUCUGGGCCGUAACUGACGCUGAGGAGCGAAAGCAUGGGGAGCGAACA